rnacentral:tRNA from 3 species
GUUUUUGUAGUUGAUGAACAACGGUGGUUUUUCAGGCCGCAGGACUCUAUUGGAGCAAAAAUU